rnacentral:ncRNA from 1 species
AACCCCCCGAAAUCUUGAGUCAACUUGGCGGAAGAGUCAGAUAUUCAGGGGGUUCAACACGCAGGCUUGGCCUAAAAGGAAUUAUAGCAAAUGCGCAACUCUAUUCAACCUU